GGACGAACGCUGGCGGCGUGCUUAACACAUGCAAGUCGAACGGAAAGGCCCUGCUUUUGUGGGGUGCUCGAGUGGCGAACGGGUGAGUAACACGUGAGUAACCUGCCCUUGACUUUGGGAUAACUUCAGGAAACUGGGGCUAAUACCGGAUAGGAGCUCCUGCUGCAUGGUGGGGGUUGGAAAGUUUCGGCGGUUGGGGAUGGACUCGCGGCUUAUCAGCUUGUUGGUGGGGUAGUGGCUUACCAAGGCUUUGACGGGUAGCCGGCCUGAGAGGGUGACUGGCCACAUUGGGACUGAGAUACGGCCCAGACUCCUACGGGAGGCAGCAGUGGGGAAUAUUGCACAAUGGGCGGAAGCCUGAUGCAGCAACGCCGCGUGCGGGAUGACGGCCUUCGGGUUGUAAACCGCUUUCGCCUGUGACGAAGCGUGGGUGACGGUAAUGGGUAAAGAAGCACCGGCUAACUACGUG
rnacentral:rRNA from 1 species